rnacentral:lncRNA from 1 species
GUCCGUUCAUCAGUCCGUCUCUGUUUAUGGUAAAUGAUUUGGUUAUAGUUUAUGAUGAAGUUUUAGUGUCAUCAACUUAAAUGAAUAAUGUGGUUUCUCUAAACAUAUCAUUGUAAAAGUGUAGAGUAAGUCAAAUCCACUGAAAACUGAAUACACGUACACAAGUUUUUUUUAUCAUUAAAGAUGACUAUGUUUGUUCAUGAUUAAGUACGGUUUUGACCCAAAAUGUACUGUUCGUUAUUGAAAUGUGACGGUGUGUUCAGUCUAAGAAAUUCACCAUGAAGUUGUGAUCAAAUAGAGAUAAAACUGAGUACAUAUAUAAAUCAAAAGAUGCAAUAUGAGUGCCAAUGAGACAGCUCUCCAUCCAAAUCAUAAUUUAUUAAAAGUUAACAAUUAUUGGUUAUAGUACGGUCUUCAUUACGGAGCGUUGGCUCACACAUUACAGCAAACUAUAAAAGGUCCAAAAUG